GUCUUGUCGGUUCUUGGUGUGAAGCCACUUGCAGCCAGCGAGUGAACCUCCAGGCUCACUGUGAAUCCUAAACCAUGUGAUGCACCUGGGUAUUCUGGCUUUACUGGAAGAUUCAUGGACAGUUAUCAUACUGGUAUGAAGUUUCCAGACAAAUACAUACAUUGCAGCUGUUUUUUGAAUGGGGAAUGUUUUUAUUUUCCAGAAGAUGUCAUUAUAAAGUGAGCUUCUCUGAUCUUUCAACUUUCUGGGACAUGGCUGAACAGUGAAAAAUGAACUUCAGGAACUUCAUGAACAACGUGAACAACCAGAACAACUUGAGAAUAUGAAGCUGUUGUGUACAAAAGCUUUAAAAGGGCUCUGCCUGUGAAUGUUUAAAUUUUUAAAUAUUGUUAUUUAUUCUAAUUUUGAUCAAGAAAGGGAUUUACACAUGGUGCAAAUUGGUUAUUAACAAUUUGCACCUGCAGCUGUCUGUACAUCAAUAUAAAAAAAAGAUUUCCUUAUAAUUUUAUUCCAGUUAAUUUUAAUUUUAAAGUUGUAGUCAAACAUUGCAGUAUUCUAAACAAUGAAAAAUAAGCAUGUUUGUUUUCAGCUAAAUCCUGCACUAAAAGAUAACUUAAAUGCCAGUGACUCUAAUUAUACAUCAUCUUUGCUUAUGGAUUAGUUAGCAGACGUAUGACUGGGGAUCCUGUAGACAAUUUUCUGCAGGAGGGGAAUUAAAAUCAGAGAA